rnacentral:rRNA from 1 species
AACGAACGCUGGCGGCAUGCCUAACACAUGCCAGUCGAACGAGACCUUCGGGUCUAGUGGCGCACGGGUGCGUAACGCGUGGGAACCUGCCCUUAGGUUCGGAAUAACUCCCCGAAAGGGGUGCUAAUACCGGAUAAUGUCUUCGGACCAAAGAUUUAUCGCCUUUGGAUGGGCCCGCGUUGGAUUAGCUAGUUGGUAGGGUAAAAGCCUACCAAGGCGACGAUCCAUAGCUGGUCUGAGAGGAUGAUCAGCCACACUGGGACUGAGACACGGACCAGACUCCUACGGGAGGCAGCAGUGGGGAAUAUUGGACAAUGGGCGAAAGCCUGAUCCAGCAAUGCCGCGUGAGUGAUGAAGGCCUUAGGGUUGUAAAGCUCUUUUACCCGGGAUGAUAAUGACAGUACCGGGAGAAUAAGCUCCGGCUAAUUCCGUG